AACGAACGCUGGCGGCAUGCCUAACACAUGCAAGUCGAACGAGACCUUCGGGUCUAGUGGCGCACGGGUGCGUAACGCGUGGGAACCUGCCCUUAGGUUCGGAAUAACUCCCCGAAAGGGGUGCUAAUACCGGAUAAUGUCUUCGGACCAAGGAUUUAUCGCCUUUGGAUGGGCCCGCGUUGGAUUAGCUAGUUGGUAGGGUAAAAGCCUACCAAGGCGACGAUCCAUAGCUGGUCUGAGAGGAUGGUCAGCCACACUGGGACUGAGACACGGCCCAGACUCCUACGGGAGGCAGGAGUGGGGAAUAGUGGACAAUGGGCUAAAGCCUGAUCCAGCAAGGCCGCGUGAGUGAUGAAGGCCUUAGGGUUGUAAAGCUCUUUUACCCGGGAUGAUAAUGACAGUACCGGGAGAAUAAGCCCCGGCUAACUCCGUG
rnacentral:rRNA from 1 species